AGAGUUUGAUCCUGGCUCAGGAUGAACGCUGGCGGCGUGCUUAACACAUGCAAGUCGAACGAAGUUAAGUGAAACCUAGUGAUCUUAACUUAGUGGCGGACGGGUGAGUAACGCGUGGGUAACCUGCCGCAUGCAGGGGGACAACAGUUGGAAACGACUGCUAAUACCGCAUAAGCGCACGGGACCGCAUGGUCCAGUGUGAAAAGAUUUAUCGGCAUGCGAUGGACCCGCGUCCGAUUAGCCAGUUGGCGGGGUAACGGCCCACCAAAGCUACGAUCGGUAGCCGGCCUGAGAGGGUGAACGGCCGCAUUGGGACUGAGACACGGCCCAAACUCCUACGGGAGGCAGCAGUGGGGAAUAUUGCACAAUGGGGGAAACCCUGAUGCAGCGACGCCGCGUGAGUGAUGAAGUAUUUCGGUACGUAAAGCUCUAUCAGCAGGAAAGAAAAUGACGGUACCUGACUAAGAAGCCCCGGCUAACUACGUGCCAGCCGCGGC
rnacentral:rRNA from 1 species